rnacentral:piRNA from 1 species
UGAAAACUGGACUUUAGAAGAAAUUGGUUU